rnacentral:rRNA from 1 species
UUACCAGACUCCUACGGGAGGCAGCAGUGGGGGAUAUUGCACAAUGGGGGAAACCCUGAUGCAGCGACGCCGCGUGUGGGAAGACGGUCCUCUGGAUUGUAAACCCCUGUCCCCAGGGACGAAGAUGACGGUACCUGGGGAGGAAGCUCCGGCUAACUACGUGCCAGCAGCCGCGGUAAUACGUAGGGAGCGAGCGUUGUCCGGAAUUACUGGGUGUAAAGGGAGCGUAGGCGGGACUGCAAGUUGGGUGUCAAAUCUGCCGGCUCAACCGGUAGCCGCACUCAAAACUGCAGUUCUUGAGUGAAGUAGAGGCAGGCGGAAUUCCUAGUGUAGCGGUGAAAUGCGUAGAUAUUAGGAGGAACACCAGUGGCGAAGGCGGAUGACUGGACGGCAACUGACGGUGAGGCGCGAAAGCGUGGGGAGCAAACAGGAUUAGAUACCCGAGUAGA